rnacentral:rRNA from 1 species
GCCUAGCCCUAAACCUUGGUAAUAUAUCACAUACCCUACCCGCCUGGGAACUACGAGCACCAGCUUAAAACCCAAAGGACUUGGCGGUGCUUUAGACCCCCCUAGAGGAGCCUGUUCUAGAACCGAUAACCCCCGUUCAACCUCACCCUUCCUUGUUUAUCCCGCCUAUAUACCGCCGUCGUCAGCUUACCCUGUGAAGGCCUAAAAGUAAGCACAACUGGCACAACCCAAAACGUCAGGUCGAGGUGUAGCGCAUGGAAGGGGAAGAAAUGGGCUACAUUCCCUAUAUUAGGGAACACGAACGGCGCACUGAAACACGCGCCUGAAGGAGGAUUUAGUAGUAAGCGGAAAAUAGCGUGUUCCGCUGAAAUCGGCCCUGAAGCGCGC